rnacentral:rRNA from 1 species
UACGGAGGGUGCAAGCGUUAUCCGGAUUCACUGGGUUUAAAGGGUGCGUAGGUGGGUUGCCAAGUCCGUGGUGAAAUCUCUGAGCUUAACUCAGAAACUGCCUUGGAUACUGGCAAUCUUGAAUGCCGUGGAGGUUAGCGGAAUAUGUCAUGUAGCGGUGAAAUGCUUAGAUAUGACAUAGAACACCGAUUGCGAAGGCAGCUGGCUACACGGUGAUUGACGCUGAGGCACGAAAGCGUGGGGAGCAAACAGG